rnacentral:rRNA from 1 species
UAGGGAAUCUUCCACAAUGGGCGCAAGCCUGAUGGAGCAACGCCGCGUGUGUGAUGAAGGGUUUCGGCUCGUAAAACACUGUUGUAAGAGAAGAAUGACAUUGAGAGUAACUGUUCAAUGUGUGACGGUAUCUUACCAGAAAGGAACGGCUAAAUACGCGCUAG